rnacentral:rRNA from 1 species
UACGAAGGGGGCUAGCGUUGCUCGGAAUUACUGGGCGUAAAGGGAGCGUAGGUGGACAGUUUAGUCAGAGGUGAAAGCCCAGGCUCAACCUUGGAAUUGCCUUUGAUACUGGCGGUCUCGAGUCCGGGAGAGGUGAGUGGAACUGCGAGUGUAGAGGUGAAAUUCGUAGAUAUUCGCAAGAACACCAGUGGCGAAGGCGGCUCACUGGCCCGGUACUGACGCUGAGGUGCGAAAGCGUGGGGAGCAAACAGG